AGAGUUAGCAUGCUCAGAAGUGAGCUUUUAUUGGGGGGACCCCCAUUCUUUAGAAAAUUCCAUCCAAAAAAGGUCAAGAGGGGUAGGGUUACAAGGACAGGUCAGGUAAUUCGACCCCUGGGGCUGCAGGAGGCCACGGCUAUGCAUGAAGACACAUUCUGCUACUUCAAGGAUUGGGGCAGCAUCUUAGGCCACUACGAAAGUGACCAGGUCACUACGAAAGUGACCAACAGAGCCUCUUCCAAUCAUGGGAAGGAAAAUGCUAGUCAUUCAGUGUGACGGUCCCCCACAUGGUGGUAAAGUCCAAGGUAGAAGAGGAUAAAACUACAGAUGUAAACAGUCGUGGAACAUCUGAGAAAGUGGCAGACAUUUGUGGAAGUGUUUUGCAGAGGUACUGCUUCUAAUCAAACAAGCUGUGUGAACUUGAGAUUCCAAGCCAUCACCUACAGGACAGAAAGCAUCCAGUGCUGACUCCAGUACUCACACUGGUCCCAGUUAAAUGGGCAGGAACUGUAAAUUAUAAACUUGAGAGUUAAGACCCAUUACCUCCACUUCAAGCCUGGGGAUACUGGCCUGUUGGAUGCCUAACACCUAAAACUUGGAGAUGAAAGUAGAGGAAGAAGGUGGCCAAGAAAAGCAGCCAGCCUUUUGACCCUUUCCCUCUAAGGACAGCCAGGACCCAGAGAAUGACAGGACCCCUCUCUGGGUCCUGUAGCCCUGGUGAGUCACCUGAUCUGCUCAUCAGAGGGACGGAAAGAACCUCAGAGAACAGGAAGCCAACCAGUGCAUGUUCUGCAAAGAGGAGGGUCAUUGAGAGGGAAAUGGCCCUGGCCUUGGGGGCACUGAUGUGGCUCUCAGGAAGUGAGUGAGUUCCCCAGAGGGUGGGUUGUGGCUGUAUCCCCAGGGGCUCUCUGCAGGAGCUUCUGCCACGGUGACCCUCCUCCAUGUGGCCCUCACCGGAGCCCAGCAGAUGCCCACCUUUUUUGGCCCUUGCCCUCUAAGGACAGCCCAUGCUCUGGGCCUCCAGACUGUGAACCAAACUCCUUCCUUUUUAAGUGUCCUGCUUCAGAUAUUUUGUCACCACAGAAAACAGACUCAGUUAGUGCAGGAUUCUCCACCCAAGAUCAGAGAGUGCGGCCCCACCCUGCGGCCCGGGGGACAGCCCUCCAGCUGUUGGUCCUCCAUGGUGCCAGAGGGCCUCCCCAGCCCAGGCCCUCCCUGGGCCUCUUGUCCAGUUCCUGAGCGCUCAUCUCUUCCUGGUGGCUCCUCCCCACGAUCCCACAGCACUGUCAGGAUGAGGCAGGGCGUGGAGGGCUGACGGGCCCCCACCUGCUGACUUGUGGUCCUGAGUGGUGUGAGCAGUGGGCAGCCAACGGCUGUCUAUGCCUCGGAGGACAGGACCGGGGCAGUGGCAGCACUCUGCGCUCAGGAGGACUCCUGCAUGAGGCUCCCUCCUGCUCCCCCUCAUCCUGUCUGCCUCUGGAGACCAGCUGGUGCUCAUGAUGUACAGCAGAGGGACCAGGCAAGUGCGCAGGCAGCCUAGAUGGCUCACUGGCUGCUGGGUCCUCUGGCCCUGAAAGCUCAUCACCCAGCAAGAAUCAGGCCCCUGGACCCACACCUGCUUCCUGUACUUGGCCUCAGGGCCCUUGCACCACGACCCCCAGAACCUUGAGGCCCUGAGGUGUCUGUAUCUUAUUCUUCUCUACUAUGGAGCCUGAGGCCCAGGUGAGCACCAUGGCCUCAGCUCUGUCGCCCUCACAGGCACUGUGGCCACUGUCCACCUGGUCACUCAAUGGUCCCACCACUUUGUUCCUGUGGAGGGCAUGUGCUCAACUACAGAUCACCUCUGCCUGCUGACAACUCUGCCUGUGGAUGACUGGGACCAAGUUUGUGUUCCACAGAGUCGGAGAAUGAACGCCGUGGACAGCCAAGGGAAGCAAUUUUAUUUAAGAGGGUAAUGGAGGACGGCCUCUCCCAAGAGGAGGGUGCCUGAGGGAGGGGCGCCCUGCUCUUCUUAGCCCUCAGACUUCGCUCUUUCAUUACUAAUUGUCUUUUUUUCUUCCCUGAAUAUGGGCCUAGGACUGUGAGCACGAAAGUCUUUUGAAAAAUAACCUCAGCUACUCUUUGAUCUUUCUUUGAAAAACAAUCGUGUCCUCUCGCCCCUCAUUACUUUUACCCAUGUCGGCUGCCUGAUUUGAAAACGGUUGUUAGCCAAUUUUCUCUUACCAGACCCUGGUCAUUCUUACCCACACUGACCACCGGACCUGUUCCCCAGCACUGGCAUGGGGAAGAAAGGUGACCCUGUUUCCCUGAGAUGAGGGAGGGGGAGAGACUGGGGAGGAGCAGGACAGGAAGAGGAAGAAGCGUGUCCUUUGAAUACAACAGCAAAGGCUGUUCUCAGGGGGCAGUGGUCACCCUGCCAUGGUGUCUCUGUGUGCUGCUGGCUGCUCAGGACCUCAUCAGAAAAGCUUGGGUGUGUCUCCCAGGGAUGUGGGAGGACCCCUAGGUCAGCCCGGACACUGAGCCACCUCCACCCUAGGCACAGGUGCUAUUUCACCCCACGCAUAGGUGCCACCUUCUGGCACCCUCUUCACCCAGGAGAACUGCCGCAGGUGGGGACAGGAGCAGGGCCCUAACCUUCCAUCUGGAACUCAAACAUGGGCCCCACAGUUCGCCCUGUUCCUGCCCGAGCAGCCCCUGGCCCUCUGCUCCACGCAUCCUGGGCUUCUUGUCCAGGAGCAUGGCCCCCCUGCUGCGGGUGCCACUUCAAAAUUCACGUUGAAGUAAAGAGGUGGGGACUCUGGGAGUGCUUGGUGGCUCUGUCCCAUGGGCAGAGUGGUGCCUGUGCUGGCUGAGGCCCUUCUUCCCUCCCCCAUCCCGCCACACGAGGGCACGGCGAGGAGGCACCCUCUGAACAGCCUUCUCCAGACACUCCGCCCUGCUGCCACCUUGAGCUUGGCCUUUCCUGCCCCCACCGCUGAGCAACACUCUGCUGGUGCCUCUGAAGGACGGAGUCUAUUACAGCAGCACCUAGGCUGAGACACCCCGAUCCGGGCACUUCAUCCUCAGCCCAAGUGGGAGGCUUGGACCUCGGAAUCCUCAGGGCCACUUUCAAAGCAGCUCAGAGCCCUGGUGGUUAAGUCAGUCUGUGCUGGGGCCUGUGCAGGUGGACAGGACCUGUAGCACGCCGGCACGGGCAGGCAGACACCCGGGGAUGGAAGGGAGGAGGGCCUGCGGGGCGCUGGCUGCCAGGACAGGACGGCAAGAUCUCACCCGAGAAGGAGACGCAUGCCGCCCGCCCCCCUCCCCGGGAGCCUGCAUGCUGACUCCCCCGAACAAGCAGAGCCUGCAGAGCCGCUGGGCUCUGAGGGCACGGGCUGGGGCUGGGAGGCCUGGCAGGCCAAGGCACAGGGAAGGGACCGCGUGUGUAAAGUCUUCCCCCAAAUCAUGUUGGUUCCAGAACCAGGUGGUACUGCUGGCAGAGCGGCAGGAGGGUUGGAGACAGGAAAGGGUGUGUAGGAGGCCCCGCCUCAGGCACCCACCCAGGGGUCCACCAGGCCCAGUCAGUGAUCCAGAGGGAAGGCAUUUCAGUGCAAUGCUGCAGCGGAUGGCCACCUGCUUUAUUCAAUCAAUCAAUCAAUUAAUUAAUUAUUAUUAUUGGUAUUGGAGACUGAACCCAGGGAUGCUUAACCACUGAGUCACAUCCCCAGUCCUUGGCUGGUCUUGAACUUGUGAUCCUCCUGCCUCAGCCUCCUGAGCUAUUGGGAUUACCUGUUUUUAUAAAUAAAGAUUUAUUGGAACAAGA